UGCAAACAGGAGGCGCAAAGAAAGGGAAAAAAACCGAAGCAUGAGUCGGAUGUCAUUUGCGGACGGCAGGAAUCCAGUGAGUACUUGUUGCGAGCCAUACGGCGGCGGCAGCGUCCCGAAGCUGUCAAAUAUUGCGCACAGCCUCCAGUCGUCAGUCAGUGGAGUAACCCAGACUAAUCCAUCAGACAAACAACUCGAAAGAUUAACCUUUUUUUCUUCUAACGAGUUUUUCCCGCUGUGAUCGGAAGCUUCUUCUAAAAUCUUGAUACGUUUUUUUUCUUUUUUCUUUUGUCACAUGGCUUUGAAGAAUUCAAUAACAACAAAAAAUGGCGACAAUCACGUUGCUCUGUGUGGUCUUGCUGCGUCAUUAAAAAUAUUCAUGUAAACACGGGGAAUUAAACGAGUGGGUUGCAGUGCAGGAGGGCGGACCGAAGACGAAGGGAGGCGGGGUCGCGACGUGGGCCAGCGCCGCGCACCGACUGCUCCAGAUGCGUCUCGCGCCAGGAAGGGGUGGAGCCCGAGACGAGAAUCAUAACAAGUCUGACGUCACUCAGCCUUGUGGUUGGUAUGAAUAAUACACAGAAGUUUGUCUGUGGCCCCUGCAGGAGUAGAGAGAAGUAGGGAGAGGGGGGG